rnacentral:rRNA from 1 species
AUUGAACGCUGGCGGCAUGCCUUACACAUGCAAGUCGAACGGCAGCACGGGUGAUUGCCCCUGGUGGCGAGUGGCGAACGGGUGAGUAAUACAUCGGGACAUGUCCUGUAGUGGGGGAUAGCCCGGCGGAAGCCGGAUUAAUACCGCAUACGACUUACGGGAGAAAGCGGGGGACCCCCGGGCCUCGGGCUAUCGGGUUGGCCGAUGGCUGAUUAGCGAGUUGGUGGGGUAAAGGCCUACCAAGGCGACGAUCAGUAACUGGUCUGAGAGGACGACCAGCCACACUGGGACUGAGACACGGCCCAGACUCCUACGGGAGGCAGCAGUGGGGAAUUUUGGACAAUGGGCGAAAGCCUGAUCCAGCAAUGCCGCGUGUGUGAAGAAGGCCUUCGGGUUGUAAAGCACUUUUGUCCGGAAAGAAAUGCUUGGCCCUAAUACGGGCGGGGGAUGACGGUACCGGAAGAGUAAGCACCGGCUAACUACGUG